rnacentral:rRNA from 2 species
UACGGAAGGGGCAAGCGUUGUUCGGAAUCAUUGGGCGUAAAGGGCGCGUAGGUGGUUCUGUAUGUCUACCGUGAAAGCAUACAGCUCAACUGUAUUUUGUCGGUAGAAACUGCAGGACUUGAGGCUGGGAGGGGCUGGUGGAAUUCCCUGUGUAGCGGUGAAAUGCGUAGAGAUGGGGGAGAACACUCGUGGCGAAGGCGGCCAGCUAGACCAGUUCUGACACUGAGGCGCGACAGCGUGGGGAGCAAACAGG